rnacentral:rRNA from 1 species
GACGAACGCUGGCGGCGUGCCUAAUACAUGCAAGUUGAGCGCUGAAGGUUGGUACUUGUACCAACUGGAUGAGCAGCGAACGGGUGAGUAACGCGUGGGGAAUCUGCCUUUGAGCGGGGGACAACAUUUGGAAACGAAUGCUAAUACCGCAUAAAAACUUUAAACACAAGUUUUAAGUUUGAAAGAUGCAAUUGCAUCACUCAAAGAUGAUCCCGCGUUGUAUUAGCUAGUUGGUGAGGUAAAGGCUCACCAAGGUGAUGAUACAUAGCCGACCUGAGAGGGUGAUCGGCCACAUUGGGACUGAGACACGGCCCAAACUCCUACGGGAGGCAGCAGUAGGGAAUCUUCGGCAAUAGACGAAAGUCUGACCGAGCAACGCCGCGUGAGUGAAGAAGGGUUUCGGAUCGUAAAACUCUGUUGGUAGAGAAGAACGUUGGUGAGAGUGGAAAGCUCAUCAAGUGACGGUAACUACCCAGAAAGGGACGGCUAACUACGUG